rnacentral:tRNA from 1 species
GGGGUUGUGGCUCAGCAGUAGAGUACUUGCCUAGCAUGCAUGAGGCACUGGGUUCGAUCCUCAACACCA